UACGUAGGGUGCAAGCGUUGUCCGGAAUUAUUGGGCGUAAAGGGCUCGUAGGCGGUCCAUCGCGUCGGGGAGUGAAAAGCUGGGGCUUAACCCCAGUCCUGCUUCCGAUACGGGUGGACUAGAGGUAGGUAGGGGAGAACGGAAUUCCUGGUGUAGCGGUGAAAUGCGCAGAUAUCAGGAGGAACACCGGUGGCGAAGGCGGUUCUCUGGGCCUUACCUGACGCUGAGGAGCGAAAGCGUGGGUAGCAAACAGG
rnacentral:rRNA from 1 species